GAUAAACAACUUUCAUCUUGGUUAGAGAACUUGAUCAAUCUUAUUUUUGCAGAGGUGUUUGAUAAACAAUAAAUUUUUAAAUCACCUCCAAUUUAAACCUUACUCAUAAAGCAUAAUCAAAACAAAAGUACUAGAUCAUCAUGAAGCAUGGGUAUUGCAAAGAUAGAUCAAUUACUAAACUCCACAACUAAGAUUUAGAAUUCAAGACAAUGCUCAUGAUAAAAUAUUAUAAAGGCAAAGUAAAAGACAAGAAAGCAAAGAUAGACACUAAAAACCCUCGCUCGAACCUCGAAUUUUAUUCAUGAUUCUCCAAACAAAGAUGCAAAAGUAGCGAUCUAGGCCUAAGUCUUCCCAAAGCUAAGAAUACUACUACUUUAUCAAUUUUUAUUGAAAGCAAAAACACUAAUUUAGAGACUAUCACACAACUCGAUAAAACUAAACUCCGAAAAACUCCAUACGAGCAGCGAACCUCCCCCCCCCCAGCUUAAAAUCUAUGACAUCCUCUUCGUAACCAUAAUGACUAAAAAGGGGUGAGACGCUCGUAAACACACUAGUGAUGCUACCCACACUACUUGUAGAAUGGACGGUUGCUGCUUCCUUCGCUAUGAGCCUUGUUCUUCCUUAUGUUGCCACACAUCCUGAAGAGCUUCCUCACGUUCCUCUGCAAGAACUUGAAGUCAUCUUCCUGGCGGCGGUCAUUCUACUCCACCUUGUGGUCCAGCUCUUGCAUGGCUUGUAUGAUGUUUUCGAUGGCGUCGAAGAGGUACUGGAUGUUCUUUCUGCAAAGUGAUGCAACAAGCAUGAUCAUGCUCCUCCGGUUCUGGCUCAUCAUCUUCUGGAGCCUUCUCCUUGCCCUUGUCUUGACGGUGCUCAUCUUGCUCCUUGCUUUUCUUCAUCUCAUUAGCCCACUCCCAGUAUGUGUUGGCAUCUUCUUCGUCAUCACGGCCUGCAGCACCCCAUGAUCCGAGGCUCCUAUCGUCCUCCCAAUCGCUAUCUCCUGCAAAGUUAGCUAGCUUGGGGGUCUUGUCCUCAUAGUUCUUGAGCUUGAUCCCAAGUAGCUUUCCUGAAUGCCUUGUGGGAGUGACAAC
rnacentral:lncRNA from 1 species